AACGAACGCUGGCGGCAGGCUUAACACAUGCAAGUCGAGCGCCCCGCAAGGGGAGCGGCAGACGGGUGAGUAACGCGUGGGAAUCUACCCAUCUCUACGGAAUAACGCAUGGAAACGUGUGCUAAUACCGUAUACGUCCUUCGGGAGAAAGAUUUAUCGGAGAUAGAUGAGCCCGCGUUGGAUUAGCUAGUUGGUGGGGUAAAGGCCUACCAAGGCGACGAUCCAUAGCUGGUCUGAGAGGAUGAUCAGCCACACUGGAACUGAGACACGGCCCAGACUCCUACGGGAGGCAGCGGUGGGGAAUAUUGGACAAUGGGCGCAAGCCUGAUCCAGCCAUGCCGCGUGAGUGAUGAAGGCCCUAGGGUUGUAAAGCUCUUUCACCGGUGAAGAUAAUGACGGUAACCGGAGAAGAAGCCCCGGCUAACUUCGUGCCAGCCGCCGCCGUAAGAC
rnacentral:rRNA from 1 species